AAAAGGUUCUUUGGGGUUCUAUAUAGAACCCUAGGGUUCUUUAACCAACUUUAUAGAACCCUUUCUGCCAAAAAGGUUCUAUAUAAGGAGAAAGAACCAAAGGGUUCUUUGGGCUAAAUGUGCUUUAUAUACAUUAUUAGUGCUUUAUUUAAAUUAUUACACUAUUGAACAUUAUAUUUGUGUUUUUACUUCAAUUUUACUUAGGCACACCUUUCAUUCUGAAGAAAACAAACUUAUAUACAUUUUCAAGUUUAAUAGGUUUAUUAGAAAAUAAUAAUUGCCGCAUUAUCCUGUAAUGAAAAAAAAAUCGAAUUGUUUCUGGAUCUAGGCGCUAGGGGCAGAAUUCUGCCAUCUGCUGGUUAAAGAAAAUCCUGUAGGAAUGACUUAUAUUCUGAAAGUCAAUUCUUAUAACUCAACCCUCCAAACAGAUGCAUUAAAUGAUCUUCGACAUAAACAGCGAAUAACUUGCAUCUUUUUUUACAGUCUAUGGUAUGCGCUGAUCAGUUCUGUACUGUCUGCACGCGCAGUGUCGGAUUUCAGCCGCGCGAGUCGUGCGCGAGUAAUUAGAAUGCGCGUGAACGCAGCAUUUUAAACUUCAACCGUUACGGACGUCCGUUUGAGCUCAGCGCUGGAGAGGACGACGAUUAAAUUGAAUCAAAAAGAAGAAAUGUGGUUUACGGUGCUGUCCGGGCCUGCGCUAUUCUCCGCCAGGAGAAAACGCACAAGAAAACGAUGUUUCAGGAGCAGUCAAAUCACGUGAUCACUGUACACCCAGACUAUUAUAAACAUGAAUUCAAGAGAAACCACGAAGAACAAAGAGAGGAGGUGAUGAAGAUGCUUCUUCUGUGGAUAUAGCUGUGAGUAUUUGGUGUUUGCAGUUAUAGCACACUUUUUUUCUGAAUUAAUUGAAGGCCUUAUUUAUGCUAAACACUGUAUUUGGUUCUUGAAGAUGCAUUAUGAAAUGAAGAUGAAGAAAAGACCUUCAACAGCAAACCAAUGACACAAAAAUGGAUGGACUCUGGAGUGCAGCAUUACUUCAAUAAGAUGAAAAUAACACACCUGUAUGAUUCAAGAUGUCAAGCCCCCUGAACGCAAAGAGAGUCUGCAUCAAAAUGGACGUGAACCUGACUGAAAACACAGAGAUGUCAAAAGUAUCUGUUGGCUGUCUACUUUUUGUUCAAUAUGGAGCAUCCAAAUGCCAGUUUCUUUCAUUCAGCACUAUUUAGCCCUUCUCAGUACUGAAUUUGCCGCCAUGGGUCAUUUGUUUUUAUUGUUUAAAUGCUUAUCUGAAUGUUAAAUUAUCAUUUAACGCUCAUGAAUUAAAAAAAAAAAUUCUACUAGCUAGUCUUUUAGUUCAUUUUUU